rnacentral:sRNA from 1 species
CUGUCCUGGGUGUUUAUCAUCCUCGGUGGCUCUGCUCAGGGUGGGAGGAGGCGGCGCGGGGAGUGGGUAGGUGGACGAGUGGGUGGGUGUGGGGUCGCGCGCGCGGGCCGGUCUCUGCGGGCUAAGUCCCUGUCAGGCCGCGGGCCGAGAGCCCUCCUCUUGCCUCAGCGAGCGCCUGCCUCCAACUGACCCUCCCCGGCCGCCGCCGCCGCGCAACCGCCCCGCCCCCAAGCGCCUCAUCUGCAUAGCCCCACCCAGCGCCGCUUGGUGUCCUGGGAAACUGGGGCCCACAACAAAGGGCAAAGCACCGCCCCGCCUUAGGCGCAGGCGUAGCAAGGGCAAGCUAUCAUCUUGGGAAGAGGGGCGGGAGCCCGGGGGAAAGCCAGGAAGGAGGUCUGGAUGCCAGGGACUCAGACUUUGUAGCUCAGACUAGCUUCAAUCAAACUCGCUGUAAAAUGACUGCCUUUACUUCCUACCUUUCCACCAAGUGCUGGGAAUAUGAGUGUGCCUUGCCACACUGGGCACUUGCUGCUCUUUGUGUAUGGCCCGAAGAGUUAUGUCAUUAAACAAAACAAAAUCUGAAAUAGAAGAAUUACUAUUCACUAUUAGUACCAUUUCCAGUAUGAAUCUAAUCCCACAGAUCUUUUCCUUCAAUUCAUAAUGCAGAUUAAUCAGUCAAUGGACAGCAAGCACCUUUAUUGCCCCAGCCAUCUUGCUGGUCCCCCACUGUGGGUUGAAAAUAACCAUCUCUCCAUUUUGGAGAAAAUCUCAAGUCAGCCCCUCACAACAGUGACUGACCAAGCACACUGCCAUGUGAAGCCAGCUUUGUAGGUCAAGAUUAUAGGCUCCUCACUAACUUACCGACAAUUGUCUCCAGUCAGUCAAUGCAAGCUACUUCAAUGGACCAUGCAAGGCACCUAGUGCACUGCCACUGUCUUGACUGGUCCUCUAAUCACAGAUUGGUGUCAAACCUGUGCAUAGACUGCAAUCAGUAGCCAUUGUGUAAGCCUUUAUCCUAGCACCAGAGGCAGGGACAGGUGGAUCUCUGCAAAUUAAACACCAGCUUGUGGUAUGCAGUGCGUUCCAGUCUAGCCAAUGCAACACAACGAGACCCUAUCUCAGACGGGGGCAGGAGGGGGUGGUAGUGCGCUCUCAGACCACAGUGGUCACCUCAAAUCAUCCAUUCAUUUAGUCCAAGUUCAGUAAAUAAACAUGUACUCACUUAUGUGCUUCUGGCAUGGGCAGGAGUCCAGGAAUAUUCCACGAUGGGCUGGGCAAUAUACCUACCUUGGAUGUCACAAUCUGGCCAGGGAGAGAGGCCAUCACAAUAUGAGCUGCUCUAACCAACCAAGGCCCAGGCUCCCAGCUCCACACCUGUGAUCAGCUCCUUGAUCAGGCCUUUUGGGAUGAAAGCUCCAAGACUGAAAAAUAAAAAGGAAUUACUGUGUAAUUAAAUUCUUUGACUUUG